CUGGUUGAUCCUGCCGGCGGCCACUGCUAUCAGGUUUCGACUAAGCCAUGCGAGUCAUGGGGUCGUAAGACACCGGCGUACCGCUCAGUAACACGCGGACAAUCUACCCCCAGGCGGGGUAUAACCUCGGGAAACUGAGGGUAAUUCCCCAUAGCCACCAUAUGCUGGAAUGCUUUGGUGGCAAAAGCUUCGGCGCCUGAGGAUGAGUCUGCGGCCUAUCAGGUAGUAUGUGGUGUAAAGGACCACAUAGCCGAGGACGGGUACGGGCCCUGAGAGGGGGAGCCCGGAGAUGGACUCUGAGACACAAGUCCAGGCCCUACGGGGCGCAGCAGGCGCGAAAACUGUGCAAUGCGCGAAAGCGCGACACGGGAAACCUGAGUGCCUUGACAAUGUCAAGGCUUUUCUUAAGCCUAAAAAGCUUGAGGAAUAAGAGCUGGGUGAGACGGGUGCCGGCCGCCGCGGUAACACCCGCAGCUCGAGUGGUGGUCACUUUUAUUGAGCCUAAAGCGUUCGUAGCCGGUCCUGUAAAUCUUCAGAUAAAUUCUCUCGCUUAACGGGAGAUCCUCUGAAGAGACUGUGGGACUAGGGACUGGGUGAGGUUGAAUGUACUUCUGGGGUAGGGGUAAAAUCCUGUAAUCCUGGAAGGACAACCGGUGGCGAAGGCGUUCAACUAGAACAGAUCCGACGGUGAGGAACGAGGGCUAGGGGAGCAAACCGGAUUAGAUACCCGGGUAGUCCUAGCUGUAAACACUGCCCACUUGGUGUUGCCUCUCCGUUGAGGGGAGGCAGUGCCGGAGCGAAGGUGUUAAGUGGGCCGCUGGGGAGUAUUCGCAGAUAGGCUGAAACUUAAAGGAAUUGGCGGGGGAGCACCGCAACGGGAGGAGCGUGCGGUUUAAUUGGAUUCAACGCCGGAAAACUCCACCGGGAGCGACCUUUAGAUGAGAGUCACCCUGACGAGUUUACUCGAUAGAGAGAGUGUGCAUGCCGUCGUCAGCUCGUACCGUAGGCGUUCCACUUAGUGGUGAUACGAGCGAGACCCUCAUCUUAGUGGCAUGUUGUCUUUGCGGACACGACUACGACGCAGCCUAGCUGGAGCAGGAGGGGUUCGAAC
rnacentral:rRNA from 1 species